AAAGUCAGGUGGUGGUCCACGAGAAAAAAAAAUAUCAAAAGCUUUAGAAGAAAUUGCCUUAACAGCAUCACUGAUGAGGGCCGAGUUAGCAGUGGCUGGUGAUUUUUACGAGACCUUCCGCAGUCACCCAGUAGAUGAAGAAAUAAUUCCCUAUAGAAUGUGCAGAUAGUUUUGCCUGUUCCAACCCCAGGGCCAUCAACUGUGCUCACAAGUCAUUGUUCCUGCCUCGACAGUGAAUGCUCCUACCUCACCAGUGAAUGCUCCUGCCUCACCAGUCAUUGCUCCUGCCUCACCAGUCAUUGCUCCUGCCUCACCAACACUGAAGCAGGUUCAGAAAUAUAAAAACAGAUAUAAAAGACCGAAAACUUGAGGGCCGAGUUAGCAGUGGCUGAUGAUUUUUACGAGACUUUCCGCAAUCACCCAGUAGAUGAAGAAAUAAUUCCUUGUGGAAUGUGCAGUUUUCCCUGUUCCAACCCUAGGGCCAUCAACUAUGCCUCACCAGUCAUUGUUCCUGCCUCACCAGUGAAUGCUCCUGCCUCACCAGUCAGUUUUCCUGCCUCACCAGUCAUUGUUUCUGCCAGGGCCGGCGCCAGCCUAUUUGGCGCCCUUAGCAGGACUGCAGCUGGCGUCCCCACCCGCCUCCCACUUCACGAUUGGGUUUGCCCACAAAGUAAUCCAGAAUCUACUGGGUGUAAUCGACAGCUCAGGCAGAGCUGUUGGGUGAGUGGAACUCGAAGCUGAUCGAGGGAGGAGUAGUGCGGGGCACUGACGCUCUCAGGCAUCAGUCCAGCGUCUGAAACUCCUCCACGCACAGGUUCCUCUUGGCCAAGAGCCUUGUAGAUUGGGACGACCUCCACACUAAUUUGGGAGAUGGAUGAAGGCCAGUGAACUCGGGUAAAUUCGUGAACACGAGCGUCAGGAACUAACCACCUCCUCUGGGAUCCAGUCAACUGGUCAGCCGUUCAAUGUCCAGUUUGUUGAUAUCACAGGCAGAGCAAACAGUGCCAGCCCCCUUCAUUGUUAUGGGUGAGUCCACUACUCAGUAGGGGUAUAUGGUGGCUGUGUUAUUCCUCUGAAUACACCUGUAUGUAUUCACCUGAAUUGUCUGAGUGUUUGGAGUCGGCAAGAGUAGGUUGACCAUCAGUUUGUGUGUGGGCAAAGGUACCAUAGUGGUGAAGAGAAGCUACUAAUUCUGGUGAUGUUAAAGUAUUAGUGUUGGUGCUGUAACUGGCAUCAUUGCCACUUGUAAUAGUGCUCAAAGGUGCUAUGUAAGAGUAUUGUGUGUGUUCUUGUACAUGUAAGUGGAAAAUGUACCUAAGUUUAACAGUACCAAAUAAGUAAAGCCAGGGAGUUGACCCCCAUCAUUCUCUCCCAUUGCUUGAUAUCAGAAUUACAGUGUACCCAUGUCAUAACCCCCGAGCCACAAUACCAAAGAUCAGAGGUUAUGGAGUAAUUAUAUGAAAUGAAAUAACUAGACAAAACUAAUGGAGAAAAUAAAUGAAGUAAGAAAUUAAGAGGAAACCAGGUUGAGUUUAAAAGUUAUCUUAUAAAUGGUUUCAGCGACUGGAUUGUAAUUUAAAAUGGUACCCAGUUGGGAGGAAGGAAUGAGCUAAUGUAGGUGUUUUUAACUGAUUUGUAAUAACCAUUUCUCUGUGCUGGUAUCUAAUAAACAUUUAACGGUAACUGAGUAUUUCAGAUUGCUAAUAAUUUUGUUCCAUAUUCUUCCAAGGUACAGUACAUUGCACAGUAUAUGUAAUUCUGUACUAAUUAAUUAGGGACAUAAUUAUUUCAGUAGGUUAUGUGUGUGUUUAUAUGCUGCCUUUAUUGAUAUAUACAUUAUAUAUUGUUACUUCUUACCAAAGUUAGAAUGUGUUUAGGCCUGUGUAAUCACGAAUGUGUUAGGCACAUGGUACAUAACAAUAAACGACUGGAGUAAGACUUGG
rnacentral:lncRNA from 1 species